AUUAUACGGCGAAACUGCGAAUGGCUCAUUAUAUAAGUUAUCGUUUAUUUGAUAGUAUCUUGCUACUUGGAUAACCGUGGUAAUUCUAGAGCUAAUACAUGCUAAAAAUCCCGACUUCGGAAGGGAUGUAUUUAUUAGAUUAAAAACCAAUGCCCUCUGGGCUCUCUUGGUGAAUCAUGAUAACUUCUCGAAUCGCAGGGCCUUGCGCCGGCGAUGGUUCAUUCAAAUUUCUUCCCUAUCAACUUUCGAUGUUUGGGUAGUGGCCAAACAUGGUUGCAACGGGUAACGGAGGGUUAGGGCUCGACCCCGGAGAAGGAGCCUGAGAAACGGCUACUACAUCCAAGGAAGGCAGCAGGCGCGCAAAUUACCCAAUCCCGAUCCGGGGAGGUAGUGACAAUAAAUACUGAUACAGGGCUCUUUUGGGUCUUGUAAUUGGAAUGAGUACAAUUUAAAUCCCUUAACGAGGAACAAUUGGAGGGCAAGUCUGGUGCCAGCAGCCGCGGUAAUUCCAGCUCCAAUAGCGUAUAUUAAAGUUGUUGUGGUUAAAAAGCUCGUAGUUGAACCUUGGGCCUGGCUGGCCGGUCCGCCUCACCGCGUGCACUGGUCCGGCCGGGCCUUUCCCUCUGUGGAACCCCAUGCCCUUCACUGGGUGUGGCGGGGAAACAGGACUUUUACUUUGAAAAAAUUAGAGUGCUCCAGGCAGGCCUAUGCUCGAAUACAUUAGCAUGGAAUAAUGAAAUAGGACGUGCGGUUCUAUUUUGUUGGUUUCUAGGACCGCCGUAAUGAUUAAUAGGGACAGUCGGGGGCAUCAGUAUUCAAUUGUCAGAGGUGAAAUUCUUGGAUUUAUUGAAGACUAACUACUGCGAAAGCAUUUGCCAAGGAUGUUUUCAUUAAUCAGGAACGAAAGUUAGGGGAUCGAAGACGAUCAGAUACCGUCGUAGUCUUAACCAUAAACUAUGCCGACUAGGGAUCGGACGAUGUUAUUUUUUGACUCGUUCGGCACCUUACGAGAAAUCAAAGUGCUUGGGCUCCAGGGGGAGUAUGGUCGCAAGGCUGAAACUUAAAGAAAUUGACGGAAGGGCACCACCAGGGGUAAACCUGACCUGUGAAGCCGCAGUCAACUCUGCUCCAGAAAGCCGCCCGAAAGGGUCGGUGGUGUUCCUAGGGGAGAGCUCUCCCCUAAACUAAUGGCUAGUCCUGCCGCCCGCGGCAGGGCGACACCCUCAAACUGACGGGGAACUCCUAAAGCCCUCGCUCCGGACAGGCGUCGGGAAACCGACGGCCUGCUCACCAGGCUAACGACCUCGGGUAUCGGAAGCAACGCGAGAGGAUGCUACAAUGGACAAUCCGCAGCCAAGCCCCUACGGUGCGGCCUCUACGGGGGUCGCAUACGGGGAAGGUUCAGAGACUUGACGGGGGUGGGUGGCGCGGGCUCUUGGGGUGCAAGCCGCGUGCUUGCUUGCAGGCCCAGGCGCCCGCCGCUGCCUAAGAUAAAGUCCGGGCGUGCGCGAAAGCGUGCGCGGCAACCACGCAACCCGCCGUUUCCAGCGGGUGCGAGGCCCCAGAAGUAAAAACAACCGGGAGCCUGCGGCUUAAUUUGACUCAACACGGGGAAACUCACCAGGUCCAGACACAAUGAGGAUUGACAGAUUGAGAGCUCUUUCUUGAUUUUGUGGGUGGUGGUGCAUGGCCGUUCUUAGUUGGUGGAGUGAUUUGUCUGCUUAAUUGCGAUAACGAACGAGACCUUAACCUGCUAAAUAGCCCGUAUUGCUUUGGCAGUACGCCGGC
rnacentral:rRNA from 1 species